rnacentral:rRNA from 1 species
UACGUAGGUGACCAGCGUUGUCCGGAUUUACUGGGCGUAAAGAGCGCGCAGGCGGUCGUUCAAGUCGAGUGUGAAAGCCCCCGGCUCAACUGGGGAGGGUCACUCGAUACUGAUCGACUGGAAGGCAGGAGAGGGAAGCGGAAUUCCCGGUGUAGUGGUGAAAUGCGUAGAUAUCUACAGGAACUCCGGUGGCGAAAGCGGCGUGCUGGACCUUUUCUGACGCUGAGGCACGAAAGCUAGGGGAGCAAACGGG